GCAAACUUGGUCAUUUAGAGGAAGUAAAAGUCGUAACAAGGUUUCCGUAGGUGAACCUGCGGAAGGAUCAUUAAGAAGUUUGAAUUUUCCAUUCAUUACACCUCCGCUGCGUACUAGUAACUGUUGCUUCCGUGGCUAUUGCUGUUGCAAUCAUGGCCACGGAAGGUUAUUUCCGCUCACAAUUGUGUGUCAGAGUAGUUGUUAUAGAGUCGUAUUCUUAAAAACUUUCAACAAUGGAUCUCUUGGUUCUCGCAUCGAUGAAGAACGCAGC
rnacentral:misc_RNA from 1 species